rnacentral:pre_miRNA from 1 species
UAUAUACUCCCUCCGUCCGAGAAUACUUGUCAUCAAAAUGAAUAAAAAGAGAUGUAUCUAGAACUAAAAUACAUCUAGAUACAUCCCCUUUUAUCCAUUUUGAUGACAAGUAUUUCCGAACGGAGGGAGUAGGAA